UGGGGAAUCAUGGUCAAUGGGCGAAAGCCUGAACCUGCGACGCCGCGUGAGUGAUGAAGGUCGUAAGAUCGUAAAACUCUUUUCAGGGAUCUUAAAGCACAGCUGUCAACAACAGCUGUGUGUGACUCUCCCUGGAAGAAGCCCCAGCCAACUACGUGCCAGCAGCUGCGGUAAUACGUAGGGGGCGAGCGUUAUUCGGAAUUACUGGGUGUAAAGGGUAUGUAGGCGGCCCUUCAAGUCGCGUGUCAAAGUCCAGUGCUCAACGCUGGGUGUGCGCGCGAUACUGACUGGCUUGAGGGCUGGAGAGGUGAGCGGAAUUGCCGGUGUAGUGAUAAAAUACGUAGAGAUCGGGAGGAACACCAGCGGCGCAGGCGGCUCACUGGACAGUUUCUGACGCUAAGAUACGAAAGCGUGGGGAGCAAACA
rnacentral:rRNA from 1 species